rnacentral:rRNA from 1 species
CGGGUGAGUAACGCGUGAGGAACCUGCCUCAAAGAGGGGGACAACAGUUGGAAACGGCUGCUAAUACCGCAUAAGCCCACGGCUCGGCAUCGAGCAGAGGGAAAAGGAGCAAUCCGCUUUGAGAUGGCCUCGCGCCCGAUUAGCUAGUUGGUGAGGUAAUGGCCCACCAAGGCAACGAUCGGUAGCCGGACUGAGAGGUUGAACGGCCACAUUGGGACUGAGACACGGCCCAG